rnacentral:tRNA from 1 species
GCCUAGCUGGCUCAGUUGGUAGAGCGUGUGACUCUUGAUGUCAGGGUUGUGAGUCAAGUCCCAUGUUGGGUG